ACGUUUCAGUGCAGUUAUAAAGUGCAUCUGUUGCGAAAUACCACGUCACUAGGCCAAUAUAAACAAUCGCUUUCGCCUGCCUUGACAUACAUACUUGUGCGGUUUUCAAGUUCACUUCCUCGGUAGUUUUCUCCAAAUUUUCACGAGACAUCAUGGGUCUACAGUCCACCACUAGAGUUAUCCGAGGCGGUCGUGCCGUGGAGACAGUUUACUGGCAUUACAUGAAGGACAAAACUGGCCUACAGAGGAUCUUCAAACACCGCAGCACGUUCGUGUAUCCUAAGAGAAUGGUGCCUAAAAUGCCCAAUGUCGCCGACCAGGCCUUCAGUAAAAUUAAAUGAACGGUCCGGUUACCAAUGCUGGCUGGCUUCUUCCUCCGGAUUUAAUGAGACUGGUGUAUUCGUAACCUGUAUGUGUCCUUUUAACCUAAUGUAAUAUAAUAUUUAUUUAUUUUAUUUGUAACUAAUUUGUUUUUGAUAUUUGUUUUCUUUGUUAAUAUAGUUUUAAUAACUCA